AUUGAACGCUGGCGGCACGCCUAACACAUGCAAGUCGAGCGGCAGCGAGAGUAGUAGCAAUACUACUUGUCGGCGAGCGGCGGACGGGUGAGGAACACGUAGGAACUUGCCCAGAAGUGGGGGAUAACUAAGGGAAACUUUAGCUAAUACCGCAUACACUCGGAAGAGGAAAGCUACCCGCAAGGGUGGCGCUUUUGGAGAGGCCUGCGUCCGAGUAGCUAGUUGGAGAGGUAAAAGCUCACCAAGGCGAUGAUCGGUAACUGGUCUGAGAGGACGACCAGGCACACUGUGACUGAGACACGGCCCAGACUCCUACGGGAGGCAGCAGUGGGGAAUAUUGGACAAUGGGGGCAACCCUGAUCCAGCGAUGCCGCGUGGGUGAAGAAGGCCUUCGGGUUGUAAAGCCCUUUAGGUCGGGAAGAAGGAUGUUGGGUUAAUACCCCGACAUUUUGACGGUACCGACAGAAUAAGCACCGGCAAACUCUGUGCCAGCAGCCGCCGUAAAAC
rnacentral:rRNA from 1 species